rnacentral:rRNA from 1 species
AACGAACGCUGGCGGCAGGCAUAACACAUGCAAGUCGAACGCCCCGCAAGGGGAGUGGCAGACGGGUGAGUAACGCGUGGGAACGUGCCCUUCGCUUCGGAAUAGCCCCGGGAAACUGGGAGUAAUACCGGAUACGCCGUAUUGGGAAAGAUUUAUCGGCGAAGGAUCGGCCCGCGUUAGAUUAGCUAGUUGGCGGUGUAAUGGACCACCAAGGCUACGAUCUAUAGCUGGUCUGAGAGGAUGAUCAGCCACACUGGGACUGAGACACGGCCCAGACUCCUACGGGAGGCAGCAGUGGGGAAUCUUGGACAAUGGGCGCAAGCCUGAUCCAGCCAUGCCGCGUGAGUGAAGAAGGCCUUAGGGUUGUAAAACUCUUUCGCCGGAGAAGAUAAUGACGGUAUCCGGAGAAGAAGCCCCGGCUAACUUCGUGCCAGCCGCCGCGGUAACAC